rnacentral:rRNA from 1 species
AUAAUCAUUAGUCUUUUAAUUAAAGUCUUGAAUGAAGGAUUGAACGAAGUAUAAUCUGUCUCAUUUUAAUAAAUAUUAAAAAUUAAUUUUUAAGUUAAAAAGCUUAAAUUAUUUUAAUAGACGAGAAGACCCUAUAGAACUUUAUAUUAAAUUUUAAUUUUAUUAAUUAAAUUUAUUUAAAUUAAUUAAUAUUUAUUAUUUUGUUGGGGUGACAGGAAAAUUAAAUAAACUUUUCUAAUUUUAUAUUCAUAAAUUAAUGAUUUUUUUUUUGAUCUUAUAUUAUAAACUAUUAAAAUAAGUUACCUUAGGGAUAACAGCGUAAUUAUUUUUUAAAGUUCAUAUUAACAAAAUAGAUUAC